UUUCUGUGCGUUACCAAGCCUGCUGUCGUGCAUGCAUGCUUACUUGGGAGUAAACCCCACUGAACAGAAAACGAUUUGCUUCUGAGUAAGCAUGCAUAGACUGGAGCCUAUGAGCGUUCCUUUUGUGAUUGCUUUACUAGCUAGAUAGCAGCACCUGUGGUUACUUUUCAGGUCAAGCCCCAUUUGAAGCCCUGGUCUCUGAAGACCAAGCUGCCGUUCUCCAGGACCAGGGUACAUCUCUACCCCAAUUUCUUUCUUUCUGAAAACAAGCAUGCAGCACAGAUUUCUCCAUUCUGUUGAGCAACUGGAACAGGACAGCAUGCUCCAGAGGGGAAACAAAGCUAAAAAGAAUAUUUGUUUUGAUUAUCUGCAAAGACAUCCCCAGGACAGAAAAACUGAGAUUAACUUACAUGCAGGAUGGAGCUUUUAGGGCUUUGAUGUAUUUGCAUUCCCCAUGAAUACAAUAAUCCUUGUAUUUUCGCAAGCAGGGGUCUCUCUUUCUCCCUUUGCCCUUCUUCCUUUUUUUCCCUUUCCCUUCUUUCUUUGGAGUCACAGGAUCUUGUGGACUGGAUAGGAAAGCAACUAAUAAAAGAAGAAACACACCAAUUUCAUGUUAUCAUAUAGGAGACACACAAUGCUUUAUAGUAGUCAAUAUAGCCAAACCUGGAUUUGGGGGUUACCCCAUCGCUUUGUUCAGGAGAAUCAAAUUCAACUGCCAUGCUACUUAAUAAACAUGACCCCGUAAUUAAA